GUAGGUUACAUUUUCUUGUAAAACUUCAGCAAAAUAUUUAUACAAAUUCAGAGUCCCUAUCUUGUUCAACGAGCACCGUACAGAUAAUAAAUGUGAAAAAGGUACAGUAAAUCUAUCCUGUGGUUGGCGCAAUCUAAGCCACUCAAAUCUCCAAUUCCUCGUUGGCCAGAACCCAGAAAAAACGAGAGCUCAUCCUUGAUCCUUCCUGUUCCUGCAGGGCUAGCUUGUGCAAGCAAGUCAGUCCCAUGUACACAAAAAUAGUAAAACCCAGUUCUUGAUUUAAAAGCAAUCAAUUCCUGAAACAGCAAAGAAUACAAGAAAAUGACAAAAGUACAUAAAUUUAUCAGAUUAAAAAUCCAAAACAACACAAGCAACAUAUGAGCAAAGCAAGGACGAGUAGUACAGGUGAAAGAUUUAGAUGUAGAGCUCCCUUCAAUCC
rnacentral:misc_RNA from 1 species